UACAGAGGGUGCAAGCGUUAAUCGGAAUUACUGGGCGUAAAGCGUGCGUAGACGGUUAUGUAAGUCAGGUGUGAAAGCCCCUGGCUCAACUGGGGAAGUGCACCCGAAACUGAGUGGCUUGAGUGCGAAAGAGGGUCGCGGAAUUCCCGGUGUAGAGGUGAAAUUCGUAGAUAUCGGGAGGAACACCGGUGGCGAAGGCGGCGACCUGGGUCGAGACUGACGCUGAGGCGCGAAAGCGUGGGGAGCAAACAGG
rnacentral:rRNA from 1 species